rnacentral:rRNA from 1 species
UACGUGGGGUGCAAGCGUUGUCCGGAAUUAUUGGGCGUAAAGAGCUCGUAGGCGGUUUGUCGCGUCGAAUGUGAAAACCCGAGGCUCAACCUCGGGCCUGCAGUCGAUACGGGCAAACUAGAGUACUGCAGGGGAGACUGGAAUUCCUGGUGUAGCGGUGAAAUGCGCAGAUAUCAGGAGGAACACCGGUGGCGAAGGCGGGUCUCUGGGCAGUAACUGACGCUGAGGAGCGAAAGCGUGGGGAGCGAACAGG